UACGAAGGGGGGCGAGCGUUGUUCGGAAUUACUGGGCGUAAAGGGCGCGUAGGCGGCCGAUCAAGUCAGAUGUGAAAGUCCUGGGCUUAACCUGGGGACUGCAUUUGAUACUGAUUGGCUUGAAUGCAGGAGAGGAUAGCGGAAUUCCCAGUGUAGAGGUGAAAUUCGUAGAUAUUGGGAAGAACACCGGUGGCGAAGGCGGCUAUCUGGACUGUGAUUGACGCUGAGGCGCGAAAGCGUGGGGAGCAAACAGG
rnacentral:rRNA from 1 species